rnacentral:rRNA from 1 species
GAAAUGCAUUUAGGUGCAGCGUCACGUGUUUCUUACCGGAGGUAGAGCUACUGGAUAGCUGAUGGGCCUCACCAGGUUACUGACGUUAGCCAAACUCCGAAUGCCGGUAAGUGAGAGCGUGGCAGUGAGACUGCGGGGGAUAAGCUCCGUAGUCGAGAGGGAAACAGCCCAGACCACCAUCUAAGGUCCCUAAGCGUGUGCUAAGUGGGAAAGGAUGUGGAGUUGCAUUGACAACCAGGAGGUUGGCUUAGAAGCAGCCACCCUUUAAAGAGUGCGUAAUAGCUCACUGGUCAAGUGAUUCCGCGCCGACAAUGUAGCGGGGCUCAAGCACACCACCGAAGCUGUGGCAUUGACACACUGCUCGGCCAGUUUUCCUGCGGGGUUCUGGUCCAGGCGUGUUGAUGGGUAGGGGAGCGUCGUGUGGCCAGGGAAGCGGCGGAGUGAUCCAGCCGUGGAGGCCACACGAGUGAGAAUGCAGGCAUGAGUAGCGAAUGACGGGCGAGAAACCCGUCCGCCGAAUAACCAAGGGUUCCAGGGUCAAGCUAAUCUGCCCUGGGUAAGUCGGGACCUAAGGCGAGGCCGACAGGCGUAGUCGAUGGACAUCCGGUUGAUAUUCCGGAACCGGCGAAGAACCGCCCAUGACGAACCUAGUGAUGCUAAACGCCCAAAGCUGUUGUCCAAGACCUUCGGGUUGAGGGUUUCAGUGGAGCGCGUGACCCGAUCUAGUAGUAGUCAAGCGAUGGAGAGACGCAGGAAGGUAGCCUCCGCGUGGCGAUGGUAGUCCACGUCCAAGGGUGUAGGGCGAGCUGUAGGCAAAUCCGCAGCUCACAUAGCCUGAGACCUGAUAGUGACCGCGUAUGCGGGAAGCAGGGUGAUCCUAUGCUGCCAAGAAAAUCUUCUAGCGAGGUUCGAGCCGCCCGUACCCCAAACCGACUCAGGUGGUUAGGUAGAGAAUACCAAGGCGAUCGAGUGAAUCGUGGUUAAGGAAUUCGGCAAAAUACCCCCGUAACUUCGGGAGAAGGGGGGCCCAGAGGGUGAAGGCACUUGCUGCCUAGCCUGAACGGCCGCAGAGACCAGGGAGAAGCGACUGUUUACUAAAAACACAGGUCCGUGCGAAGUCGCAAGACGAUGUAUACGGACUGACGCCUGCCCGGUGCUGGAAGGUUAAGAGGACCGGUUAGUUCUUCGGAGCGAAGCUGAGAAUUUAAGCCCCAGUAAACGGCGGUGGUAACUAUAACCAUCCUAAGGUAGCGAAAUUCCUUGUCGGGUAAGUUCCGACCUGCACGAAUGGCGUAACGACUUCUCCACUGUCUCAACCACGAACUCGGCGAAAUUGCACUACGAGUAAAGAUGCUCGUUACGCGCAGCAGGACGGAAAGACCCCGGGACCUUUACUACAGCUUGGUAUUGGUGUUCGGUACGGCUUGUGUAGGAUAGGUGGGAGACUGUGAAGCAUGCACGCCAGUGUGUGUGGAGUCAACGUUGAAAUACCACUCUGGUCGUUCUGGAUAUCUAACCUCGGUCCGUGAUCCGGAUCAGGGACAGUGCCUGGUGGGUAGUUUAACUGGGGCGGUUGCCUCCUAAAAGGUAACGGAGGCGCCCAAAGGUUCCCUCAGCCUGGUUGGCAAUCAGGUUUUGAGUGUAAGUGCACAAGGGAGCUUGACUGUGAGACAGGCAUGUCGAGCAGGGACGAAAGUCGGGACUAGUGAUCCGGCGGUGGCUUGUGGAAGCGCCGUCGCUCAACGGAUAAAAGGUACCCCGGGGAUAACAGGCUGAUCUUGCCCAAGAGUCCAUAUCGACGGCAUGGUUUGGCACCUCGAUGUCGGCUCGUCGCAUCCUGGGGCUGGAGUAGGUCCCAAGGGUUGGGCUGUUCGCCCAUUAAAGCGGUACGCGAGCUGGGUUUAGAACGUCGUGAGACAGUUCGGUCCCUAUCCGCUGUGCGCGUAGGAAACUUGAGAAGAGCUGUCCCUAGUACGAGAGGACCGGGAUGGACGAACCUCUGGUGUGUCAGUUGUUCUGCCAAGAGCACGGCUGAUUAGCUACGUUCGGAAGUGAUAACCGCUGAAAGCAUCUAAGCGGGAAGCACGCUUCAAGAUGAGGUUUCCAUGGGCUUCGGCCCGAGAGGCUCCCAGCUAGACUACUGGGUUGAUAGGCCAGACGUGGAAGCACAGUAAUGUGUGUAGCUGACUGGUACUAAUAAGCCGAUAACUUGACACAACAAAG